AACCUCGUGAAUCUUAUGUUUGGCCUGAAGAAAGAAUCAUAGUCAAGCAUCCACAACACUCUAGUCUUGCCACGGGAACACAGUAAGGUAGAUAAUGCAGAACUGGUAUCAAAUGGGACUAGAGAAGCGAAUUCUACAGUCCAUGUUGUUUUUUGCUUUACUGAUGUCUGGUAAUUUUGGGAUAAAAUUAGGAUUUGUGAGUUUAUCAUUUCAAGUAGGUACACAAUAUGUACACUGUUAUACUCAUUCUAGAGCUAGGCCACAUUUGUUUACAAAAUCAUUGCAGAAAAAGGAAUUGGAAUACGGAAUUUUUGAGUACACAUUCAGAAAUAUUUAUAAAGUCCCAUAUCGAGGAAUGUACAGUAAGAAAGUGAAACACAAUAUUAAUUCAAUUGAAGGUCCGUAGUGAAAAUACUGGCCUUUGGGAAGCAGAGAAGAGAAACAAAAUUGAACUGUAUUUCACGAAAUGUACCUGGGAAUAACAUUAAUAUCCAAAAGAAUCCCAUCCAUUCUAUGUUAAAAGACCUUUUCUACCCAUUCCAAGCCCUUGACUAACUUUUUCUGUUCAGAGCAUGUAAUCUCAUAUAAAGCAAAGCGAAAUCUAUAGUUUUACAGAGAUGGAGGAUAUAAAGGUUUCCACUGUUUCACAGGAGACAUAUCAGGAAAGGACACCCUCAAAUAUGGUCAAUGUAAGGAAAGCUGUUCAGCAGGUAGGCCAUGGCAGUUCUCAGUGAUAUCAUCAUUAGGCCUUGCCUGAAAAAUCUCUUGUAACCUGGAGAGAUUUUUCUUCUGUGAUGUCACAAUUGUUGUCAUGACUUCAUCUGCAUCUCAGGUAUUCCUUCAGUACCUCUAGGGUUCAGUAAUAGGCAUCUAAUUCAGAAUAAACAUCCAUUUGGGAGUAAGAACAAAGAGGAUGAAAAGAUCAGAAAUGGGUAGAAGGAAACUGCCAUUCUGUCUUUGUCUAAAAAAGAUUGCUGAAUUCCUGGUGAUAUUAUGGUUCCUGAGUCUUCUGCCGUGCUUCUUUGCUCCAAUUGGUAUCAUCCCAAUAUAUGUGUAUUCACUUGCGCUUUAUGGGUUUAUGCACUUCUUUCUUAUCAACCCCCCAAAAAACUUUCUACUAUAAAUCCAGAUUUUGGUUGUUUAAACUUCUGAACCAGAAUUUUGCAACAGAAAUACAUACAGAGUGCAAGCCACUGUUCAGUGCAUUCCUGCUUGGCUUCGCUUCAUCCAGUGCCUGUGCUGGUACCGUGACACAAGAAGAGCCUUUCCUCUUCCAGUAAAUGCUGCCUGGCAAAUACUCUACAACUUUCUUCACCCUGACAUUUCCAGCCCUUUACAACACUCACAAAGGUAGGCUGAGGUCUCCCAUCUGAGCCCUUACUACUGCAUUCUGUUGCCCUGGACUCUGCCGUCGCUGCUGCUGGUUCUGCUGAGGCUUCAGAACCCGGACAUCUCACUUUAGCCUUGAAUAUAGUUUUAAUCUCAUUUCAAUUAACAGUUAUUAUCACUAAGAUUUUCAGUCAAUUGGUUAGAAUUGUGAUGCUGUUUCAAUCCUGUCUGUUGCUCAGUGGCUUUAACCUAUGGGUGCGUUGGGUUUUAAUUUAGUGGUUUAGAGUGUUUUUUUUUUCUGUUUGUUUUUGAGGAUUUUUUGUUGUUUUUCCUUGGGGGGGUUGGGGAGGUUGAAAUUUCCUUGUUUAUUAGUGAAGUUAAGAAAUGGUUAGGUGCACAAGAAUCCCUCUUCCAACCAAGUAUUUAAUAUUUAAGUAUUUUCUUUGAUGAACAUGUAAGGAUUGUUUACAGCCCAUUUAACUGCAAAUUGAGUUCUCUGAUCGCUUCAGUUUCUCAUUUCUAUGGAAUCCUGCUAUGACUUGCUACUGAUCUUCUGUUGGGAAUAGAAAAAAAAAAGUCUUUUAAGUUUAGAACCAAAUGCAGACACUCAGUUUGAAUUUUUACCAUUUCCCAUGAACUGUCAUUGAUUUUCCAUCCUUGCACUAAAAUGUAUUCCUUCUUUGUCUGCUGAGUAGAGAGUAUCAGCCCACACCUUACAAAGUGCAAAGAGCUUUGACUAAUGCAGAUUAGUAAAGAGCUUUUUAAAUACGCACGUAAAUUGUUCUCAGUAAACUUUUCUGUGCGGCUCUAUUGGGAGAUAUAUUCAGAAGUACAAAACUACUGUUGCUGUAAUAUGUAUCUGAUGCCAUGUCAGAUGAGGUCACUGUUAGUUCCGUGAUAUUGGUGUCCCUGAACUUUCAGAGUAUGACAUAGGGUCUGUGCUAGAAUAGUAAUGAUAAAUGUAGCCAUUCUUGUUAAGUGUUAGAAUUUAAUUGAGUACCUCAGUGAAGGAAACACAUCCACAGGAAUUCCAUAAUUUUAGUUCUUGCUAAGGAAUGCCAGUACUCAAUACCAGUAUGCACCUUGAUUUAUAGAUUUGACAGUUGAUUUGGAAAAAAAGAUGUGAUAUGGCUUCUUUUACUAAAUUAUCAGAAACAUCUGCCUCCUGUCUUAGAUAUAAAUGAGUGCUGGGGUAGAUUAUACUAGUAAUAUAUUUAUUAGGAAGUUAAAAUUGCUGGAAGGUACUAUUGACACAAAAUACAGCACUUACCUCAGGAAAUAAGGAAUAGUUAAUUCUUGAGGCAAACCUAAGUGCUAGUAGCCUGGGAGCACAGACUCAGGUUAUAACCACUGGAGGUGAUUACAUAAUAUUUUAUUUGAUACAAAACAAAGAGAAACAUAAAUAAGUGCAUUUAUCACAUUGAUGAUCACUGCCAAUAAGUAGGCUACAGCAAAACAAGUGGAACUCUGUAUAAAUCUAGGAUGUCUGAUAACAUGUUUAGCUUUCAGAUUGGUAAAGGAUGGUGCCCUGCUGAGCAUACAUUUUAGGGCUGUAGUGAAUUUGGUCCCCAACACCCAUGUAAAGGCUGUGAAAGGCAGCAAACACCUAUAACUCGAGCUCUGGGAAGAUAGACACUGUGACUUACUUGCCACUCCUAUUAUGGUAUCAUUGAGCUGCAGAUUCAAUCAGAGACCUUGUCAAAAAAAUAGGGUGGAGAAUGCCUGGGAAGACACUGAUACCAAGCUUCCCACACACAGAGAAAACAUUUGACAGAUUUGGAUAGUCACAGGCCCAUUCAGAUAAAGGAGUGAACAGUGAGUGACUUUCAAAGGGAAAGUCUAAGGUAGUCUGGUUAGGUUCUUCACACCAUCUUCAAUCACGAAGCUCGUUAUUGAGACUCAGCCUUGAGGAACUUAUGUUUACAUAAAGACCUUUAACAACACAAAAGGAUUACAAGUCCAAGCCUGUCUUAUUUACAGAGUGAGUUCAGGCCAAUCUGGCCGCAUAAUAAAAUCCUGUCCCAAAAUAAGUAAUAUAUAGCUUACCUCUAAUUCAUAGAACUCUGUGGUCUGUCCUUAGCACGAUGUAAGAAGAAUUACAAAGAAGGUUGGGAUGAGCCAGUAAAAAUGGCUUCACAAGUAAAGGCACCUGAAGCAAAACUUGACAGCCUGAGUUCAGUCCCUGAGCACGAUGGUAGAGAAAAAGAACUACCUCCAUCAGGUUGUUUUCUGACCUCUGUGUUUGAACAGUUGGACUAUGAGGAAAUGGAUGCUUUGUCCCCAGUAUCACAGGGGGCGGGGGUAUGUGAACAGAACUUUGAGCCAACAUAAUUUACCUAUACAUGAAGCAGUCCUGUACUAGUAAAUACAUAUAUUUCCUAUUCAAGUAUAGUUUAAAUUGGUACAGUUUUACAUUGAUA